rnacentral:tRNA from 1 species
AAAAUCCGUCGACUAUUAAAAAUCGUGAGGGUUCAAGUCCCUCUAUCCCCA